ACGCGUGAGUGCAUCCGCCGUGCAGUACAGCGCCUCCAAGUUCUGGGGGUUUGAUUGCUGCCGUGCCCUCUCGGGGACCAACCGCCUGCUUUGGUUACGUAGAGAGUCGGGCGCCUGCUCUGCUGCUGUCUUGCCUUGUUUUAUCUUGUGUUCCGAUCUGUUAGCUGUCCAAUCUUGUUCCUGCUGCUUGUCUCGCCUCGCCCCUGGGGGUUUUGGGUUUCACGCUAAGCCCCUUUUGGACUAUCAUUUCAUUCCAGCUUUCGCGGCUGGUCGGGGCGAUCCUCAGCUGCAUAUUGGGCAGGUGUUACAAAACUGGUACUGCCUCUCCCUUUUCUCUUAGUUGUGGAGAGCUGCGCGGGACUGAGUGGGGCUACGGACAAUCGGAACCAGCACCAGCUGUGGGCUGGCUCGCAGACGAACUGAGGAUCUACCAGCGGCCGUGGGACCUUAGGUGGCGGGUCGUUUUCCACACUUCCUUUGUUGUACAGCACCAGGUGAAUAGACUAUAGUAGGUUU